GAAGUGUGGACGCCAGUCUGCAUGGAGCCGACCUUGAAAUACCACCCUUUAAUGUUUGAUGUUCUAACGUUGACCCGUAAUCCGGGUUGCGGACAGUGUCUGGUGGGUAGUUUGACUGGGGCGGUCUCCUCCUAAAGAGUAACGGAGGAGCACGAAGGUUGGCUAAUCCUGGUCGGACAUCAGGAGGUUAGUGCAAUGGCAUAAGCCAGCUUGACUGCGAGCGUGACGGCGCGAGCAGGUGCGAAAGCAGGUCAUAGUGAUCCGGUGGUUCUGAAUGGAAGGGCCAUCGCUCAACGGAUAAAAGGUACUCCGGGGAUAACAGGCUGAUACCGCCCAAGAGUUCAUAUCGACGGCGGUGUUUGGCACCUCGAUGUCGGCUCAUCACAUCCUGGGGCUGAAGUAGGUCCCAAGGGUAUGGCUGUUCGCCAUUUAAAGUGGUACGCGAGCUGGGUUUAGAACGUCGUGAGACAGUUCGGUCCCUAUCUGCCGUGGGCGCUGGAGAACUGAGGGGGGCUGCUCCUAGUACGAGAGGACCGGAGUGGACGCAUCACUGGUGUUCGGGUUGUCAUGCCAAUGGCACUGCCCGGUAGCUAAAUGCGGAAGAGAUAAGUGCUGAAAGC
rnacentral:rRNA from 1 species